UCAGAGGGGGGUAGAAUUNCACGUGUAGCAGUGAAAUGCGUAGAGAUGUGGAGGAAUACCGAUGGCGAAGGCAGCCCCCUGGGAUAAUACUGACGUUCAUGCUCGAAAGCGUGGGUAGCAAACAGGAUUAGAUACCCUGGUAGUCCACGCCCUAAACGAUGUCGAUUAGCUGUUGGGCAACUUGAUUGCUUAGUAGCGUAGCUAACGCGUGAAAUCGACCGCCUGGGGAGUACGGUCGCAAGAUUAAAACUCAAAGGAAUUGACGGGGACCCGCACAAGCGGUGGAUGAUGUGGAUUAAUUCGAUGCAACGCGAAGAACCUUACCUGGUCUUGACAUGUACGGAAGAACUCAGAGACGAGUUUGUGCCUUCGGGAGCCGUAACACAGGUGCUGCAUGGCUGUCGUCAGCUCGUGUCGUGAGAUGUUGGGUUAAGUCCCGCAACGAGCGCAACCCUUGUCAUUAGUUGCCAUCAUUUAGUUGGGCACUCUAAUGAGACUGCCGGUGACAAACCGGAGGAAGGUGGGGAUGACGUCAAGUCCUCAUGGCCCUUAUGACCAGGGCUUCACACGUCAUACAAUGGUCGGUACAGAGGGUAGCCAAGCCGCGAGGUGGAGCCAAUCCCAGAAAACCGAUCGUAGUCCGGAUUGCACUCUGCAACUCGAGUGCAUGAAGUCGGAAUCGCUAGUAAUCGCAGGUCAGCAUACUGCGGUGAAUACGUUCCCGGGUCUUGUACACACCGCCCGUCACACCAUGGGAGUGGGGGAUACCAGAAGUAGG
rnacentral:rRNA from 1 species